UGAGACUAUAAGGAGAACCAGUACUGAGUCAAUGUGCAGGGUACCAGGUAGUUGAGGUAAUAAUGAGGCUAUAAGGAGAACCAGUACUGAGUCAAUGUGCAGGGUACCAGGUAGUUGAGGUAAUAAUGAGACUAUAAGGAGAACCAGUACUGAGUCAAUGUGCAGGGUACCAGGUAGUUGAGGUAAUAAUGAGACUAUAAGGAGAACCAGUACUGAGUCAAUGUGCAGGGUACCAGGUAGUUGAGGUAAUAAUGAGACUAUAAGGAGAACCAGUACUGAGUCAAUGUGCAGGGUACCAGGUAGUUGAGGUAAUAAUGAGACUAUAAGGAGUACCAGUACUGAGUCAAUGUGCAGGGUACCAGGUAGUUGAGGUAAUAAUGAGACUAUAAGGAGUACCAGUACUGAGUCAAUGUGCAGGGUACCAGGUAGUUGAGGUAAUAAUGAGGCUAUAAGGAGAACCAGUACUGAGUCAAUGUGCAGGGUACCAGGUAGUUGAGGUAAUAAUGAGACUAUAAGGAGAACCAGUACUGAGUCAAUGUGCAGGGUACCAGGUAGUUGAGGUAAUAAUGAGACUAUAAGGAGAACCAGUACUGAGUCAAUGUGCAGGGUACCAGGUAGUUGAGGUAAUAAUGAGACUAUAAGGAGAACCAGUACUGAGUCAAUGUGCAGGGUACCAGGUAGUUGAGGUAAUAAUGAGGCUAUAAGGAGUACCAGAACUGAGUCAAUGUGCAGGGUACCAGGUAGUUGAGGUAAUAAUGAGACUAUAAGGAGUACCAGUACUGAGUCAAUGUGCAGGUUACCAGGUAGUUGAGGUAAUAAUGAGACUAUAAGGAGUACCAGUACUGAGUCAAUGUGCAGGGUACCAGGUAGUUGAGGUAAUAAUGAGGCUAUAAGGAGAACCAGUACUGAGUCAAUGUGCAGGGUACCAGGUAGUUGAGGUAAUAAUGAGACUAUAAGGAGUACCAGUACUGAGUCAAUGUGCAGGUUACCAGGUAGUUGAGGUAAUAAUGAGACUAUAAGGAGUACCAGUACUGAGUCAAUGUGCAGGGUACCAGGUAGUUGAGGUAAUAAUGAGACUAUAAGGAGUACCAGUACUGAGUCAAUGUGCAGGGUACCAGGGAGUUGAGGUAAUAAUGACACUAUAAGGAGUACCAGUACUGAGUCAAUGUGCAGGGUACCAGGUAGUUGAGGUAAUAAUGAGACUAUAAGGAGAACCAGUACUGAGUCAAUGUGCAGGUUACCAGGUAGUUGAGGUAAUAAUGAGACUAUAAGGAGUACCAGUACUGAGUCAAUGUGCAGGGUACCAGGUAGUUGAGGUAAUAAUGAGACUAUAAGGAGUACCAGUACUGAGUCAAUGUGCAGGGUACCAGGUAGUUGAGGUAAUAUGUACAUGUAGUUCGGGGAAAAAGUGACUAGGCAAUCAGGAUGGAGGUUACAUCUCCUCACCCAGGGAGCUCACACUCACGCACACACACACACACUCACUCACUCACACACACACACACACUCACUCACUCACACACAGAUACACACACACACACACACACACACACACACACACACACACACACACACACACACACACACACACACACACACACACACACACACACACACACACAGGGAGGGAAUGUUGUGUUUGUUUAAUAUUGUUUUAGGACUAUGAAAAUAGACAAAAUGAUUAGCCUAUGGAUUAUGAAAACAACAACAAUAAAUGGGAAAAUGGGAGGAGAAAUGACUAGAGACAGUGUUGUUUAACUCACUGACCAGGACCCAUGAGUUC